rnacentral:lncRNA from 1 species
GAGCUGAGGCUGUGUUGCUGGGUCGGCUGGCAGGUUGCACCAGGCAGGCUUGCUUCCUGCAGGGGAUUGGGGAUGGGCUUUUUGGGCUUUUUUUUUCCUUUUUUUUUCUUUUUCCAUGCAGGAGAGAGAAGGCAGGGGGAUAGCUCCUCCCUGAAUCUGUGACUAGUGGGUGUGCAAUAUGCACAGCAGUGCUGUUUGGAAUCAGGUUAGCAAUGAAGCCAUCUUGACCUGGGUGCGGUAAGCCACAGCGAUGGAGUUAAACUCACCUCGGGGCCACGAAUUGUCUCUUUCAGUCUCAAAACACCUCCACCUCUCCAUCCCGAAAGGAAUAUUUGAGGGUCAUUAUCAGUGUCUUACAUGGAAGGGGUGUUCUGCAGCCUGAGAACAGUGCCAUAAACCGGAAUGUACUCUGUGAAAGGACCAUGGAGCUGUCAUCAUCUCCCUUUAUGUCAGAAGGCUGGAGUUGGGGAGGGGGAUGAGAGAGAGAAAGGCAAUGGUAAUUCUUCAUGGCCGGCAUCCUACCUGAGGCUCUGACAAACAUUUUUCUGCAGAAUCCACAAGGCAAGUGGCUCUGAGAGGCAGCGUUUCCUGCCAUUUUAUAGGUAGAAAGCUUGAUGUUCACAGAGGAGGGAUAUACUGCCCCAGUAUUGGGGGACAAAGCAACAUUAAUGAUAGUGUUGUAGAAGAUACAGGGUGCUCACCUAUAUCCUUGAGGAGGACAUUCCCUCUGCAGUGUGACCAGAGGAUUGGCAAGCUGACUUCCAACUGGGUCUCUUUUAAAAUCAGAAAGAUUCCUCAUCAUCCCCCAGCCCAAAGCAUCUCUCAACAAGUGACAAUGAUACAGGGCUGGAAGGACUGGUACCCAACUCUCUCAUGGCACAGGUGUGAAUCUGACAUCUUCCUCACUUGGCUUUCAGUUUCUUUAUCUGUGAGGUGAAUGUUGCUAGGUCUCAGUACGUAUAGACCUAAGGUAAGCAGAGGUUCCCAGACAUGCUCUUUCCCUGCACAGAGGCCUGAGAAGCACUGCCUGGCACCCAGUCACGUUCCCUGUUGCUUGGGUGUGGAACAGGGAGCGUGCAGUGAUCUUGGAUGAUGAGCUUUCAAAGAGCUUCCUCGGAGGAAUGGUGACAACAGAGGUUACUUCCGCAGACAGGAGCCCCGUGAGUGGCUCAGCUCCAUCACAUCGUGAAGUCUUGUGCUGAGGGCUCAGCAUGAUGGUGUUUCUAAAGAGCAGGAAGUUAGUGUAAGUUUUAGAAGGGAGUUCUGAGGACUCACCCCUCCUGCAGGAGGGCACGGAUGCUCCUUCCUCCUCCACAGCUCUGAGUAUGCCAAGGUGGAACCAUCUCGGGAGGCUCCACAGGUUACCUGGCUCAGAGGGGCUCAGUGGACUCUGGAGCAUGUGAACCUCCUGUGCACCAUCUAAUUUAUUCAUCCUUUUGUCUUGUCUAUACUGAGCUUGUUCCUGGCCUCCCAGAGCAAUUCAAUCCCAUUGAAAUCACCGUGACUGAUCACUAUAAUCUUUUUAUUCAACCCCUUAAACAAAUGAAGCCAAAUACCCGAAUAGAGGCACCACGACACAUGACUCUGAGCAAGACAUUCAUGAGGGCUAUAUUGUCUGAAACGGCUUUCCAUUCUUCGAGGGAGGAUGAAUCUCUCUCUCUCCUUGUUUAAGCCUCUAUCCCUCUUUGAUUUCCCCCUCCCCAUUCAUUAUUGUUUUGUCUGUGAUGAGCAUGGGCUGAAAUAAACUAUACCUAAAAUGAGAGAUGGGUAGAGAAUUGUAACCUGCUGCCAUUUUAAGGAUCCCCUCGGUCUAGAUGUGACAUAGAUGAAGGGCUGAUUAUCUCUACUGAGGGUGGUCUUGAAGUAGAACCAAGAUUUCAUCAUUAUGAGAGACAAGGGAACCAGAAACACAAGGAGUUAUACAAAGGUGCAGAACUGUGGCUUGGCCUGGCAGGCUCAAGGGCCUGUCUGUGAACAAGGGUAGAGAGAACAUGUAAAGAGAAUCU